rnacentral:rRNA from 1 species
AUUGAACGCUGGCGGCGUGCUUAACACAUGCGAGUCGAUCGGUAACAGGUGUAGCAAUACAUGCUGACGAGAGGCGGACGGGUGAGGAAUAUUUGGGAAUCUGCCCAUCAGCGGGGGACAACCCGGGGAAACUCGGGCUAAUACCGCAUACGCCCUACGGAGCAAAGCCGGGGACGGCAAGGCCUGGCACCGAUGGAUGAGCCCAAAUCGGAUUAGCUAGUUGGCGGGGUAACGGCCCACCAAGGCGACGAUCCGUAGCUGGUCUGAGAGGACGAUCAGCCACACCGGAACUGAGACACGGUCCGGACUCCUACGGGAGGCUGCAGUGGGGAAUAUUGGACAAUGGGGGAAACCCUGAUCCAGCGACGCCGCGUGGGUGAAGAAGGCCUGCGGGUUGUAAAGCCCUUUCGGUAGGGAAGAAAUCUCUUGUCUUAACACGGCAGGAGUUUGACUUAACCUACAUAAGAAGCACCGGCUAACUCUGUGCCAGCCGCCGCAGUAAUAC